GGUUUGUACUGGCAUGCACUCUCUAUGUUUACAUUGAGUGUGUAGAUGGUGCGAAUUGAGUAGUUACGAAUGAGCGUGUAGAGUGACAGUUGCGAUAAAGUGGAGCGUCGGUGGACGACGAACAGCGAACCUGUGGGAAGUCUGGUGAAUCCGAACGAGCGGAGAAAGCUUCUGAACUGGAGAGCUGGAGUUUGCCGUUGCGAGAGUUGCUUCCGGAAGUGGACCCUACAAUUGGCGACGAGGAUGGGAUGGAAGGCCUCGUAUACGAUGGAUUGCUGGCAGGUUGGUUGGUGUUGUGAUGAUGGGAGAAACGGUGCAACAAUUCGGCAGGUGAAGUUAAAAGAGGAAGUGUAAUUAUUUGCACGUAAUUGAUGCCACAGUGUUUUGUAAAUGCAGGUGUUGAUGGAUAA